CCUACGGGGAGCAGCAGUGGGGAAUAUUGGACAAUGGGCGAAAGCCUGAUCCAGCCAUGCCGCGUGUGUGAAGAAGGCCUUCGGGUUGUAAAGCACUUUCAGUGGGGAAGAAAGCCUUGGGGCUAAUACCCUCGAGGAAGGACAUCACCCACAGAAGAAGCACCGGCUAACUCCGUGCCAGCAGCCGCGGUAAUACGGAGGGUGCGAGCGUUAAUCGGAAUUACUGGGCGUAAAGCGCGCGUAGGCGGUCUGAUAAGUCGGUUGUGAAAGCCCCGGGCUCAACCUGGGAACGGCAUCCGGAACUGUCAGGCUAGAGUGCAGGAGAGGAAGGUAGAAUUCCCGGUGUAGCGGUGAAAUGCGUAGAGAUCGGGAGGAAUACCAGUGGCGAAGGCGGCCUUCUGGACUGACACUGACGCUGAGGUGCGAAAGCGUGGGUAGCAAACAGGAUUAGAUACCCGGGUAGUC
rnacentral:rRNA from 1 species